ensembl:lncRNA
CUGUAGGAGGAGCAUCUUCUCUCUUACUGUUCCCAGCACCAUUUGUCACAGCAUCAGUUGUCUGCUGAGGAUUAAGAAUUCACUGAGCACAGCUUUUAUCACUGUGAUUGCAGAUUAUUCUUAAUCACCUUCAAGCCAGAAAAAGAAAGAAAUCAUCAAAAGACUCUGAGUGAGCAUAUCAGGAAGCCAAGAAAGAAAUCUUCUACUCCUUAAAUAAUGCAACACCUGAAAUAAGGUAUUUUAAAACAUUUAAAGGGGUUUAAAAACAUUUAAAAAAACAAUGGCAACAAGAACAACAGAAAAUGUGAAAGCUGAUGUGAAUCAGAGCAAGGUUAUCAAUUCCAGAUCUCCUGACUCACUGGGGGAUUGGAUCAGUGAGCAAAACACAAAACCUGGAGGAAAAGAUAUUGGAAUCAUAGAAUCAUAAAGGUUGGAACAGACUUCUAAGAUCAUUGAGUCCAACCAUCAGCCCAUCACCACCAUGCCCACUACAACAUGUCCGUGGUUUAAAUCAGCUGCAGACGAGACCUUACCAUGUCUCCGCUGUGAUCUAACAUUGAUGGACAUGAGUCAACCCAACCACCUCCAUCUCCUUCUCAGGGACUGAGGUUGUUGCCUUACUUUGAUUCAUCCCUCUACAAGAAGAUGCUGACCAUUAGACAAAAGCAUGCUGUUGCAUAACAAACAAGGUUAGAAUCAGUUUUUGUCCUGUUUGUUUCAUCCUCCUGCUCUGACUGACUGGCCAAGCCUUGUGUUCAGUGAUAAAGAUACCUUUGUACUCUUUUGUGUGGGGCUCUUGUACGGAAGUAAAUAAACAUUGGUUUAUUUUUAUUGGUUUAUUAUAUGUUAGUGGAUAUAGUGGUUUGGUACCCAUCAUGUGAGCUGCAAAUUGCUGGUUGCCCAAAUUAGAAGAGAAUAAAUGUUGUUUACCUCCGUUCACACUUCUGGAGACAGAUACAUCCUCAUCAGGUGCCAAGCAUUUCAAUUGAACAAGACAUAACACUCCUGCAAUCAGGCCAGCAGUGGAGAAGCAACAUCCAUGUACUCCUCUAGUGGAGGGAUUUGUCCCCAUGGAGGUGUGGCAUGGGGGAGCCCUCACUGGGUGGAAGGAGGAAUGUCCAGCCUGCUGAUGGUGCCAUGUGUGACUGAUAUCCCUUUGUAUUGUGCACUGUGCAUAAAAUGGCUUUAAGGAGUAAUGCUGAAUGCAAAGGGGGGAAAUUCUGAUCUGUUGCAACUUCUUUUAUUUUUGCUGGGGAGAAAUAGUCUGUAAAUUCUGCAGCUAAGUGCUAACCAUUCAAAUUAAGAGAAUGUGGACAACGACAUCAGGAAU